rnacentral:rRNA from 1 species
AGAGUUUGAUCCUGGCUCAGAACGAACGCUGGCGGCAGGCUUAACACAUGCAAGUUGAACGGGAUUUGUGUGGUGCUUGCACCAUAUAAUGAGAGUAGCGCACUGGUGAGUAACACGUGGGAACGUACCUUUUGGAGGGGGACAACAUCUGGAAACGGAUGCUAAUACCGCAUAAGACCUGAGGGUGAAAGAUUUAUCGCCGAAAGAACGGCCCGCGGAAGAUUAGGCAGUUGGUGGGGUAAAGGCCUACCAAACCUACGAUCUAUAGCUGGUCUGAGAGGACGAUCAGCCACACUGGAACUGAGACACGGUCCAGACUCCUACGGGAGGCAGCAGUGAGGAAUAUUGGGCAAUGGAGGCAACUCUGACCCAGCCAUGCCGCGUGAGUGAAGAAGGUUUUCGGAUUGUAAAGCUCUUUCGGAUGUGACGAUGAUGACGGUAGCAUCUAAAGAAGCCCCGGCUAACUUCGUGCCAGCAGCCGCGGUAAUACGAAGGGGGCGAGCGUUGUUCGGAAUUACUGGGCGUAAAGGGUGUGUAGGCGGUUAUGUAAGAUAGCGGUGAAAUCCCGGGGCUUAACCUCGGAAUAGCCGUUAUAACUAUGUAGCUAGAGUUAUGGAGAGGAUAGCGGAAUACCCAGUGUAGAGGUGAAAUUCGUAGAUAUUGGGUAGAACACCGGUGGCGAAGGCGGCUAUCUGGCCAUAUACUGACGCUGAGGCACGAAAGCAUGGGGAUCAAACAGGAUUAGAUACCCUGGUAGUCCAUGCUGUAAACGAUGAAUGCUGGUUGUCGGCUUUAGGGUCGGUGACGAAGUUAACGCGAUAAGCAUUCCGCCUGGGGAGUACGGUCGCAAGAUUAAAACUCAAAGGAAUUGACGGGGACCCGCACAAGCGGUGGAGCAUGUGGUUUAAUUCGAAGCAACGCGAAGAACCUUACCUGGUCUUGACAUCCCUAUGAAUAACGGGCAAUGCCGUUAGUACUUCGGUACAUAGGAGACAGGUGGUGCAUGGUUGUCGUCAGCUCGUGUCGUGAGAUGUUGGGUUAAGUCCCGCAACGAGCGCAACCCCUGCUAUCAGUUGCCAGCGAGUAAAGUUGGGCACUCUGAUAGGACUGCCGGUGACAAGCCGGAGGAAGGUGGGGAUGACGUCAAGUCAUCAUGGCUCUUACGAGUUGGGCUACACACGUGCUACAAUGGUAACUACAGAGGGGAGCGAGACCGCGAGGUUGAGCCAAUCUUAAAAAGUUAUCUCAGUUCGGAUUGUUCUCUGCAACUCGAGAACAUGAAGUUGGAAUCGCUAGUAAUCGCGGAUCAGCAUGCCGCGGUGAAUACGUUCCCGGGUCUUGUACACACCGCCCGUCAC